UGAAGGGCUCCUCAAGCGCGGCCAGAGUGGGCGCCAAGGCCGAGGAGGCGCCGAGAGCGAGUGAGGGCUGCUAGGGCCGCCAGCAUGCUGUCACCUCUCAUAAUGGGUUUCUGGACAGUGUUGUUAACAAUUCAUGGCGUGUGUUUCUGUGUCGGAGGCAGGAGGGAGCUGAAAAGAUGCAGUUUUAUCUCCAAAGGAAAGACGAGGUUUUGCCAUGUUGCCCAAGCUGAUCUCGAACUUCUUGGCUCAAGUGAUCUGCCUGCCUUCCAAAGUGCUGGGAUUACAGGCAUGAGCCACCAAGCGCAGCCAUGAUUUAUUAGAUCACUUCUAAAAGCCCUCUCUCCAUCUCCAAGCCAGCAAGUGCUUCUUUGCACCCCAGCUCUAAAACAAAGCCCUUGGGGACACAAUCAAAGACAGUAGUUGCCAAGAGGAAUAGGGAGCAUGGAAAGAAGGUGCUGGAUGUGCAUACAGCUAACCUGGUAACUCCAAACUGGAUGAGCUCAUUCCUUGAGACUGGAAUUACAAAAUUGGAACAGCUCACUAAUAAUUGAAGAUGAUUUGGGAAAACCAUUAUCCUUCCUCAGGUUUUACAAGGUUUUUAUGACUCAUUUAUAAGGUCCUACAGCUAAAAAAAAUCAUGCUGUAUUUCAGAGAAGUUUAACUUGAAAAUAUUUUUUUCACUAAUUAAAAAUUCCCAUUAUACCUUAUAGUUGCAAUUGUAUCCUUAUUGCUGAAAGAUAUCCAUACUACCUACCACUUCUUUAAAAUUUAAAAAAUUCUAUAAAUAAAAAAUAUAACAAUUGCAAAUAUGUAAAUAACUUCCAACAUAAAACAAAAUUUAUAGUAAUUAUAAGAAGUUCUUUUAUACUAAAAAUUAAGUUGUAAUUAUGAUAGAAAUAAUCUGUAAAAGGUAUUUUUAGCAAAAUUUAUUAAUACGGGUAGCAAUAAUAAUACCCAAUUAUAUAUGCAUAUUGUUUGUAUUUUAGAACCUGUGACAAAUGAAAAUGGUUUUCCUAGAUAAGAACGAAACUGUGUUGGGUGGCUAACAAGAUUGAAACUCAUCUGACUUUGAGAAAUAAAUCAAUUUGGUUUGUUUAUUUACAAUCGUUAUUUUUCCUUUUACCAAUACCUAAGUUAUUUCACUGUAAAACUUUCAUAGAAGAAUUUCAGGAAAGGCUUGUAUUUACGUGUUAUAGAUGAGGUACACCACAGUGAUUUAGAUCAGCAGUCCCCAACCGUUUUGGCACCAGGGACCAGUUUCAUGGAAGACAAUUUUUCCACAGAUCAGGGGUGGGCAGAGUUUGGGGGAAUGGUUUCUGGAUGAUUCAAGCGGAUUACAUUUGUUGUGCACCAUAUUUCUAUUAUUAUUAUUGCAUUGUAAUAUGUAACAAAAUAGUUAUACAACUCCAUAAUGUAGACUCAGUGGGAGCCCUGAGCUUGUUUUCCUGCAACUAGACGGUCCCAUCUGAGGGUGAUGGGAGACAGUGACACCAAAGUGUGCUGCUUAUGUCCAGUCUACUUCGUAAUCUCAUUUUGAUUGCUGUCACUGCAGAAAACCCUGUAACAUUCUCAAAAUUCUAUUCUCUCUAGGGUAAAAUUAAACUGCGGGACAUAGCGCAGAAGACUUGUCACAAUUUAGGACCAACCUACCAAGACUUCUUGAUCUCUUUCCACUUCUUGCCCCUCACUGUGUUUGAUUUCUGCCUUCCAGUCUGAACUUCUCACUAUAUUCCAGAAAAGGCCUGUUAAAGAGAUCUGGUAGUCAAAAGCAACCUCUUUUUUGCUUGUGCUCUCUGUUAUACAUAAGAAACCAGUCCUGCUGCAGCUCCAUAUUUGCAUUACUAAUUUAAUCAGUUAGCGGGACACAUGCUCUUUAUAACCCAAAAAAUUGAAGCAUGAAAUUUGGGAGUCAUACCCAUCACCCAAAUGUGGCAUAACAAUGUUCUUCUUCCCCGCAAAGCAGUGUCCUUCCCCAAAGAAAUUCUGGGGAUUGGCAUUUUCUUCAUCCACUCCUUUCAUUAUUUCCUUUACCUAUUUCUCUGAGUCUAUUAGCAUCCUUGGAGGGGGGAAUGUAUCUUAUUUAUUGUUAUAUCUCCCAGGCUCACACAUCACUCAAUAAAGGUUUGUUGAAUGAAACAAUAAAUGGAUGCAAGACUAAAUGAACAAAGAAAAGCCACGGGGAAGAUAACAAUGUUAUGUCAUAAUUCAGGAUCAUCUUUUUCUGUUUUUUCCCCUCCAGCUUUAUUGAGGUAUAAUUGACAAAUAAAAAUUAUAUAUAUUCAAGGUGUCCAACAAGAUGUUUUGAUAUACAUAUACAUUGUGAAAUGAUUACCACAAUCAAACUAAUUAGCAUGUCCAUUACCUCACAUAAUUACCUUUUUUAUGUGUGCUGAGAAUACUUAAGAUUUGCUUUCUUAGCAAAUUUUAAGUAUACAAUACAUUAUGAUUAACUAUAGUCAUCAUACUUUACAGUAAGUCUCCAGAACUUACUUCAUCUGCAGGUUUGUACUCUGACCAACAUCAUCUUAUUUCACUCCCCACCCCACUUUCAGCACUGGUAACCACAUUUCUAUUCUAAGCCUUCUGGUGAAAUUUCUUUCUUAUUUCACUCCCAGUGAGUAACACAAGAGAAAAAUAAACAACAAAAGCCAGUCAAUAAUUAUAAAGUGAAUCUUACCAGUAUAGAGUUAUAAGCCUUGUUUUUACUUCACUGAUAAUGUUGUCGUGAACACUGUUUGAAUAAUGAAGACUAAAGGAAUGAUGGCAUGCACUGUGAGUUCUUGAUGUGGUUGAAGCAAAAUUCCCAACAAACAGACAUUUUGCUAUUUCAUUAGUGUUUAUGGCUGAUAAAUACCUUGUAUGUUUGCUAUACUAUUGUGUUAGUAACAUAAUUUUAUUUUUAUGUAACACUAACAAUAAAUAGAUAAAAGC
rnacentral:lncRNA from 1 species